GUUGACGAGCCUCCCUUCUUGUCAUGCUUGGUCAUGAUCUGGAUAGCGAAAAGAGGGAGGUUAGGAACAUCACAAUGACAGUACUGAGAUCACUCAAGAAAUCCUAAUGAUGCACAAACCUCACAAUGUUGCCAACAAGGCAAGAACUUCCUUGAUCUUAUCCUUGAUGUUCUCUAGCUCCAGGUUGUUUCGCUGCAGCUCGGUAUUUGCUGAACCGUGUGUGUACAUGCAUCAGGGCAUACAUACAAUGUUCAAGUUAAUAUUCUUAGCAAACUAUGAUGUAACCAAAAUAAUUACUUCAGGACUUAGGAUAAAAAUUGAGCUUAGACAUGAAACUUUACAUCGCUCAUUUCAACCAUGUUAGAUAAACUUGAGGUAAAUUAGCAAUAAGGAUAUUGGUUACAAGCUAGGUGAAAGGCAAACAAAGUCCUACUAUAUUGAUGGAUACCAACUUGUUUAAACUAGAGCAGAUCGUUCAACUUGUGCAAUCUAGCAGUCUAAAAAGAGAGAAGUAUGUUCAUUCUCAGUUACACAUUAACUAGAACAAAAAUGAGAGACAUAAAUUAGAAAAGAAAUAAGAGACACUAAUAUAAGCAAGAACUUUCAACAAGUACACAUUAAUUAUUACAUAGCAUCUCUGGCACUGUUGUUGUUUGCAUACUAAAACCAGUAGUUGUCCGCUAUGAAGCAUCACUCAUUGACCAACAUUAGUAUGUCAGCUAGCAGAAUCCUCAUGUACUAACUUAGACAAAUUUGACAUACUAAUGCUAGAGAAAAUAAUUGUUUGCACAUCAUCAUCCAGAACCUCCUACAGGAUCAUUUCACUCUAAUCCCCUACCUGACUAAACUAACAAGUGCUCAGAUUACCGACAAAAACAAGUGGCAGUAGCUAAAAAAGUGACAGUAGCUCAAAAACAAGCAUAACAUCUGUCCAGGUGACCCGUCCGGAGUAGCGCGUAGUAGAGCACCUGCACC
rnacentral:lncRNA from 1 species